GACGAACGCUGGCGGCGUGCCUAAUACAUGCAAGUUGAGCGCUGAAGGUUGGUACUUGUACCAACUGGAUGAGCAGCGAACGGGUGAGUAACGCGUGGGGAAUCUGCCUUUGAGCGGGGGACAACAUUUGGAGACGAAUGCUAAUACCGCAUAAAAACUUUAAACACAAGUUUUAAGUUUGAAAGAUGCAAUUGCAUCACUCAAAGAUGAUCCCGCGUUGCAUUAGCUAGUUGGUGAGGUAAAGGCUCACCAAGGCGAUGAUACAUAGCCGACCUGAGAGGGUGAUCGGCCACAUUGGGACUGAGACACGGCCCAAACUCCUACGGGAGGCAGCAGUAGGGAAUCUUCGGCAAUGGACGAAAGUCUGACCGAGCAACGCCGCGUGAGUGAAGAAGGUUUUCGGAUCGUAAAACUCUGUUGGUAGAGAAGAACGUUGGUGAGAGUGGAAAGCUCAUCAAGUGACGGUAACUACCCAGAAAGGGACGGCUAACUACGUG
rnacentral:rRNA from 1 species